rnacentral:rRNA from 1 species
GAUGAACGCUGGCGGCGUGCCUAAUACAUGCAAGUCGAGCGAACGGACGAGAAGCUUGCUUCUCUGAUGUUAGCGGCGGACGGGUGAGUAACACGUGGAUAACCUACCUAUAAGACUGGGAUAACUUCGGGAAACCGGAGCUAAUACCGGAUGAUAUUUUGAACCGCAUGGUUCAAAAGUGAAAGACGGUCUUGCUGUCACUUAUAGAUGGAUCCGCGCUGCAUUAGCUAGUUGGUAAGGUAACGGCUUACCAAGGCAACGAUGCAUAGCCGACCUGAGAGGGUGAUCGGCCACACUGGAACUGAGACACGGUCCAGACUCCUACGGGAGGCAGCAGUAGGGAAUCUUCCGCAAUGGGCGAAAGCCUGACGGAGCAACGCCGCGUGAGUGAUGAAGGUCUUCAGAUCGUAAAACUCUGUUAUUAGGGAAGAACAUAUGUAUAAGUAACUGUGCACAUCUUGACGGUACCUAAUCAGAAAGCCACGGCUAACUACGUG